UUAGCAAGGGAAGUUGUGGAGACGGAUCAUUUGGUUCUACGUUUUUUGACAUAGGCGAAGAUUUUUAACCGCGAGGAAGAAGGGCGUUUCGUUACUGAAUGCCACGUAUAUAUGAGGGGUUGAUUUUAAGGAAGAAAACUUAUAUAAGAAGCUAAAUUGGAGAAAAAAUAGAUAGUCAAUAUGCUCGGAACUACACAAUCGUAUUCUUAUAAAGAUAUUAACUAGAAGAGAGACAACCAAGAUCAGUAUGAGGACCUGAACAAGACAUGAAAUCAAGGAAAUAUAUGCAAUCCUUUAGAGAUAAACGAACUGAUAUAAUGACCUAAUAAGUGUGAUACGUUACGAGCCAGCACAUAUCUUAUCAACGUUAAAUGUUCAACUGACUGAUCGAAGUGUUAUUAAGUGAAAAUAUGGAAUGCAAAAAAAGCUAUACACAAAAAUACAGACAUAUUUAAAAAGAAAUUACGAGAACAAAUAACGAGUAAUUCUCAUCUCGUCGUGAAGGACAAGUGAAGAGAGAUGAAAGGUCGCAAUUUGCGUUCGUUUCACACGCCAAAGAGAUACGCCAGAACUUUACCAACGGAGAAAAUAGACAGCACAAUACCCGUCUGUCUCAGUAUAAUAGAACACUAUAAAGACUCAGUUAAAAGAGGAAAUGUACGUAGUGUAAUAGUGAUCAAAGACGGCUUUAAGGUAGCAGUGGAUUUAAACCUGAUCACGAAGAAGAGUAGAGAGCAGCCAUGCCAAAGAUUGAGUAUAUCCGGUUUUGAUGUAUGUCGUCAGGAACUGUCAUGCGCACAGAUAACCAUGACUUUAGUUGAUGCUGAGGAUAGAAUGAGAAUGAAUAGAUUCGUUUUUUUUUUUCUUGAAAAUUUGAAGAUUUGAGUUGAUGGCGAGAUUAGACGGAUAGAGUGAAAGAGAACUGUCCUACAAAUAACCAUGAAGGCUUUAGUUAAUGAUGGGUUUAAACUUGACCAGGAGGAAGAACAGACAACAGCCGUGCCAAGGACGAGAUUGAAAACCCUUCAGGACCCGAGACCCUUAGGGUGUGUUGCUAUCGGGAGCGAACUGGCUUGCCCCGGUGUUGCAAAUUAAAAUGCAGAAGGCAUACUCCGACUUAACCUUUGCAACUACGCUACUCGACUGAACAUUUGACUCCUCGAGAAGUUGUAACUUUGGUGUUGCAAAUUUUCUGAUGAUUCUUCUUCUUUGAUGAUGAAGCUCCAGCUAAUAAUGCUUAUGGUGAUCACUAUGCUGGUUCAACUCUCGGCGGCCUUCUCGCUCUGGGAUCUUUUCUUCAAGAGGCCUACGUGGUUUAGGUCGAGGAUCUCGAGGAACAGGCCCUCAUGGAUGCCUCACCUCCAAAACUACGGCUACUGGAACGGCUAUGACAUCGACGGCUAUACAGAGAGUGGAUAAGAAAGUCCUCAUGCAGUUCAGCCGUCCGUUUAUUCUUCGCAGAUGGAAUAUUAAACGUACUGCAGAUGUUCAGCUGCAUUAAAAAUGUUCUAUUGUAAUGUUAUUUGUUAUGUUAUUGAAUUAUUUAUUUAUAUAUUUCCUACAAACUUUCUGCUUUUGUUGUUUUCUUAAGUUAUUGCUCACGCUGAAAGAACAUAAUUUUCCUAAGCAAAACAUGUGUCAAAAUAUCAAAAGAAUUGUUAAAUGUUAACUGUUAGUGCUGGGUUAGUUUGGAUAAGCGUGUAAGUUGUUAUUUAUAAGUUAUCUCUUAAGAAAUCGAAAUAUAUUUUUCAUGUUGA